GCCGCCAACAUGGUGUUCAGGCACUUCAUGGAGGUUGGCCGGGUGGCCUACGUCUCCUUUGGACCUCAUGCCGGAAAAUUGGUCGUGAUUGUAGAUAUUAUUGAUCAGAACAGGGCUUUGGUCGAUGGACCUUGCACUCAAGUGAGGAGACAGACCAUGCCUUUCAAGUGCAUGCAGCUCACUGAUUUCACCCUCAAAUUUCCACACAGUGCCCGCCAGAAGUAAGUCCGACAAGCCUGGCAGAAGGCAGACAUCAAUACAAAAUGGGCAGUCACAUGAUGGGCCAAGAAGAUUGAAGCCAGAGAAAGGAAAGCCAAGAUGACAGAUUUUGAUCGUUUUAAAAUUAUGAAGGCAAAGAAAAUGAGGAACAGAAUAAUCAAGAAUGAAGUUAAGAAGCUUCAAAAGGCAGCUCUCCUGAAAGCUUCUCCCAAAAAAGCACCUGGUACUAAGGGUACUGCUGCUACUGCUGCUAAAGUUCCAGCCAAAAAGAUGACCACCGUGAGUAAAAGGGCUCCAGCCCAGAAGGUUCCUGCCCAGAAAGCCAUAAGCCAGAAGGAUGCGCCUGCUCCCAAAGCUCAGAAGGGUCAAAAAGCUCCAGCCCAGAAAGCACCUGCUCCAAAGGCAUCUGGCAAGAAAGCAUAAGUGGCAAUCAAAAGAAGUAUUAAAGGUUCUUUUUGACAUGUUGGCAAAUGUAUUUAAGCCUUUGGAUUUAAAGCCUGUUGAGGCUGGAGUUAGGAGGCAGAUUGAUAGUAGGAUUAUAAUAAACA